AAUUAUUUGGAAGGACACCUCUUCUCUAUACAUGAUGAAGCCUUCAUUUAAACUCUAGCAUGUGUAUCUUUUGUCAUCAAGUUAGAACACUAGUUGCCCUACGUUACAAUUUCUUGUUUCUUACAUUAUGAACAAAAUAAUUUCUCAAACUCUAUGAUUCACUUCCUAAUUUCCCUAUGAUGGACGGAUGAGAUGGGCAGAAAAGCAUAAAAAGUUGGCCCAAGUUCUCUGAUCAUCUCCAAAACUUGACAAGACAAAAUUAAACGUAUGUCAUAUUCAAACUGUGAAGAAGAAGCAUUGCUUGAGGGGUAGUGGUGUAAUGCCCUUUACCCUGAAAAAGAUAACUCCCACAACUGCUUGCUAUUUCCAUGGCGACUCCACAGGUAUAUUUCUUAUUUUCUCUCUCUCAUCCACUCAUUAAUGGGUUCCUUUCUUCUAAUCUUCUGCUCAUUAUACUGUUAAAUUAAUCUAUGUCUUUCAUUCUAAACACCAAUUUUGUCGUUUUAUUAAUUGGUUUGGUUUGUUUUGUAUGAUUCCAAAGUAUGCCUAUUUGUUCCCAUGUCAAAAUCAUUAUAAAAGCAGAAUCUUUGAUUUUGUGCUGAAAAGCAUUAUUCCUCUCAAUUUUAUGAGGGUAUAUUGGUUCAGACAAAACUAGAGGAGAAUGUUAGAAUUUCUGUUCUUUAUUGGAGAGUAAUUCUCCCUUCUCUCACAAAAGCUCUGCUCUAAACUUAAGGGAUCUGAAUCUUCAUAGUAAAUCUGAAUUUCCAAUAGGCAUUCCCUUCUGCUCUGAACUUCGUGGUUUUGAAACUAAAUUGUGUACCAAAAUUCUCAGGUUUUAAUUGUUGGGAUGUCCUCUUUGCCAGCUCUGCUCUAAAAUUAAUGUGCUUUGAACCUUAAUUUUAUUGCAAAAAUCCCAAGUUUUGAAGGUUUAGAUGUCUCCUUGGCCUUUUCCCCUAAAAAGUCUUCAACUUUAAGCGCUCUUAUAUUCCAACUUCCCCAUAAUCUUCCAUAACACAUCCGAGACAGCAAUGGAUUCUCUGCCCUGUAGAGAUGGAGGGCCAGAAGUUUUGAGAAUUCAAGGGAGAUUUAUGAUAAAUCUCAAGUGGAAGUGUAGUGAUGUAUGCAGCUGAGGCAUCUAUGAGGUGUAAGCCUCCCAAAAGGCAUUCCCUUAUGCUCUAAACUGAAUGGGUUUUGAACCUUAAUUGCAUAACAAAAGUCACAAAUUUUGGGGACUCUAGAAAGUCUUAAACUUUGAAAGCCAUUCCAUGUAAACUACUAAGGUCCUGGUGCUUUCUACAUUAUCUGUUGCUCUGAAGUGAUUGUUAUAAAUGAAUGAGAAGAGUAAUAGACUAAAUACUGGAAGUACCAAUUAGAAGAAAAGAUGGAGCUGCUGGUGCUGAGUAUGAUAAAAUGCCCAACUUGUCAAUGAGAAUGGCAUGUUUCCUAAGACAAUGGCUACACUUCCUAUCAGAGAAAGAAACAGUGGCUGAAUAGUGAAUCAGGUUGACCUCCCCUUCUCUGAAGCUGGACUGCAAUUGUGAAUUCAUGAUAGUAUGGUGCCCUAUACCUGAUACCCGAUCCUUAAUAUCAUUAGGUAUAAACCAUAUAUUAAUUGGCAAAGUGAAAUACUUAAACUUAAGCCUGCUGAUGAGUUUAAGAAAGCAAAAUCUAAUCAUAUAAACCAGAACUAAAUGGGAAGCAAAAUUGAGGAAAAGGCUAAAUCAAAAGCUUCAUUUAGUACAGAAAUCUUCCUCUACAUAGAUAUACUUGAUGAUCAAGAACACUCAAAACAAGCAAUAAAGCUUCAACUCAUCUCAUUACAACAAGAAAAAAAAAACUACUUUGUCCCUAAAAGGACCCAACAGUCUUAAAUGAAUCAUGGAGAUGCCUCAAAGUCUCUUCAUCCUUAUUCCACUCAGGAGUUGGUGCAUUAACAAAAUGAGCAUAUAACUUAUUCUUAGCACAAGUUACCUUAAUCAAGCUAUGUUUCCCAAUCCCAUCAAUUUCAUACACAUAAUACAAUUGCCCAUCUUCAUCUUUCUUCUCUUCACUCUUCACACUAUCUGCUCCAGAUAUCAAGUCUUGCAAAUCCACAUCAGACAAGGCCAAAUUGUUUAGUACCAUAUCUUUGGGAGCUAGCUGUCUGAAUCCAGCAAGAAAUGUCAAGUAUUCUUUUUCAGUCCUCUUCUUUGGAUUGUAGAACUCGCUAUCGGUUCCAUUUGUACCCUUUUCAACUUUGGAGACUAGGCGUUCUUUCCAUCCGUCAGGGACAUCGUAGAUGUACUCAGCUGACGCUUUCUUGUCAGAGUUCCCUCCAUAUCCACCGUAAUUGGCCGCGCUGGCUGCGGUGCCGUAAUAGAUGUGAUAG
rnacentral:lncRNA from 1 species